AUUGAACGCUGGCGGCAGGCCUAACACAUGCAAGUCGAACGAGUGGCGGACGGGUGAGUAAUGUCUGGGAAACUGCCCGAUGGAGGGGGAUAACUACUGGAAACGGUAGCUAAUACCGCAUACCAUCGGAUGUGCCCAGAUGGGAUUAGCUAGUAGGUGGGGUAACGGCUCACCUAGGCGACGAUCCCUAGAUGGUCUGAGAGGAUGGACGCCCACAUUGGGACUGGGAAACGGCCCGGACUCUUACGGGGGGCAGUAGUGGGGAAUCUUCCGCAAUGGACGAAAGUCUGACGGAGAAACGCCGCGUGCGGGAUGACGGCCUUCGGGUUGUAAACCGCUUUCAGCCAUGACGCGGUAGUGGCAGAAGAAGCACCGGCUAACUACGUGCCAGCAGCCGCGGUAAUUC
rnacentral:rRNA from 1 species